rnacentral:lncRNA from 1 species
CCGGAAACCAAAAGGUUUCGGGACUUUUUUCGCAUUUUCAGUUGAUUCUUUGACGGAUUUAGACCCAGAUUUGGGCUUAGGGGAGUCUAAAGGGCCAAGUAGGGUAUUUUCCCCUUUUUCGGCCACCGCAGAUGGCGGUGCCGGUGCUGGAGAUCAGCGGCCGGCACGGUGGCUAAUGACCGGCCGAUGAUCGGGCCUUGGCCGGAGAGUUGGGGAGGGUAGAGCUUUUU